UCUCCAGUCUCCACUCCAGGGUUUAAGCCUGUGUCUGUCACUGAGAAACUUCAAAGCCAUGAAAAUUGAACGAAGCUCAUCGCCCUGCAACAAUGCUUAUAUGACAGUAUAACAGCUAUCCGUUCUGCCUAAUCACACAUAACCCCCCAGAAAAUGAGGUAUUUACAGUUCAUUUCGCGUAUUUACAAAUCGCUCCCUCAAAACCCUACCCCCAAUUUCCGCACAACCCUGAUCGAAUCCAAGGUUCAAUGUUCUCGAUCCUCGUGUUUGGUUGAUUGCACGCGCAAUUACACCUCUUCUACGCAAGAAUCGAGGCCGGCACCGUCCGAGACCGUAUCGGGGAUUGUCGACGAGCUCAUGGGCCUCACGCUGCUCGAGGUCUCGGACCUCGUGGAGGUCUUGCGGGAGAAGCUGGGCGUCUCGGAGAUGCCGACGAUGAUGGUGAUGAUGCCGGGGAUGGUGCCCGGAGGGCUGAGGGGCCCGGCAGGGGCGAGAGGUGGGGCGGCGGCGAAGGUGGAGGAGAAGGCGGAGAAGACAGUGUUCGACGUGAAGCUCGAGGGGUUCGACGCUGCGGCGAAGAUCAAGGUGAUCAAGGAGGUGAGGGCGUUUACGGAUUUGGGGUUGAAGGAGGCCAAGGACUUGGUGGAGAAGGCGCCAACGCUUAUGAAGAAGGGGGUGACGAAGGACGAGGCCGAGAAGAUUAUCGAGAAGUUGAAGCAGAUUGGAGCUAAAGUUUCGAUGGAAUGAGGUUGCUGCAUUUUUGCAAGUUGGCAGUAGUUCUGUUGACGGUGGGUAUUGAGUAAACAUGUCUAACCAAGAAUGGAGUUUGCAUUACUGAGGUGCAAUGGGCAAUGGUUUUGUUCAUGGCAUUGGAGGAUAGACAGAAUGCAAAUCGUGAUUGGCUGUGAUCAUCGCCUCUUCCUAUCUGAAGCAAAAUUUUGUUUUCCAUAUAUAUGGCCAAAACAGUGUGAAGCAACUCUUCUUGCCUUUUGUUUCUUCUGGCUUAUUAGGGUUUUUGAGCAUGAAACUGAUGGAAAUGAGGUGCUGAAAGUUAUGGAGAAAUGAGAGGAAGGCUGUUCCUUACAAAAUGAUGUAGAUGAUGGUUCUAUAAACAUGUUAUGAGCAGUAGAUCUAUUAGGCGUAUGAGGACUACUGGUAGAAAUUGGGGCAAUCUGAACAUUAUUAAGACUUGCCUGGGGUAAGAGGAUGAAGACCAAGAAGUGUGAGGCUUAAUGGUAUGGAUUGUCAAAAUCAAGGGCAGCAGAUACUAACGUGUCACACUUGAAUUACUGUUGGCAAGUUAUAGCGAUCAGUUUUAGGUUUCUUCGUAAUGCAGAACAUUCUUUGUUGUAGCUGCUUUGCUUAUUUUCUUCAACUUGGAAAGAACGCAUCCGGGCAAGUUUUGUUCUCUUGCGCCUACCAUGCAUUUUUUUCCCAUAAAGCUUUCUUAGUGAUUCUUAA